GAAACCGAUUGACGAAGCAAGGAGCCAAUGAAAGGCUUGAUUCGUACCCGACCCAACUACCAGAGGACCAGUCGGGAAGGGAAAUGAAUUUGCGUCCAGGUGAUGGUUACGCUGCUCAACGUUCCAAUGACAGGCAGAGUCUUCUUUUCUUGCCCAUGGUGGAUGGAGUGCAGUAGCGUAAUCAUACAUCACUGCAGCUUCCAACUUCUGGGCUCAAGCCAUCCUCCAGCCUCAGUCUCCCAAGUAGCUGGGACCACAGAAAAGGGGUCUUGUUCUGUUGCCCAGGCUGGAAUACAGUGGCAUCAUUACAACUCACUGCAGCCUUCAACUCCUGGGUUCAAGUGAUCCUCCUGCCUCAGCCUCCUGAAGUAGCUGGGACUAUAGGCACCUACCACUGCUACACCCAGCAAGCACAACAUUUUAAAGAAAAGCAAGAGGGCCCAUGGCAAGAGUGCUCCCUGGCAGGCCAGGACG